rnacentral:rRNA from 1 species
CCUACGGGAGGCAGCAGUGGGGAAUAUUGCACAAUGGGGGAAACCCUGAUGCAGCAACGCCGCGUGAGUGAUGAAGUAUUUCGGUAUGUAAAGCCCUUUCAACAGGGAAGAAGAUGACGGUACCUGACCAAUAAGCCCCGGCUAACUCCGUGCCAGCAGCCGCGGUAAUACGUAGGGGGCAAGCGUUAUCCGGAUUUACUGGGCGUAAAGGGAGCGUAGGCGGCAGUGCAAGUCUGAUGUGAAAGCCCGGGGCCCAACCCCGGAACUGCAUUGGAAACUGUGCUGCUAGAGUAUGGGAGGGGUAGGCGGAAUUCCUGGUGUAGCGGUGAAAUGCGUAGAUAUCAGGAGGAACACCAGUGGCGAAGGCGGCCUGCUGGACAAUAACUGACGCUGAGGCUCGAAAGCGUGGGGAGCAAACAGGAUUAGAUACCCUAGUAGUC